UAAAACUUAAGAAGACCAUCUUCAUACCCAAGCCUAACAAACCAGUUUGGCUUGCAGGUCUCAGUAUUGGAAGCACUUUGAGGGCAUGGGAGCCACCACUCUGAUCCAGUGGGGUCUGGACAGGUUCACAAUCUGUCACUCAUUCUAGGCUUAUUUGAUUUGGUGGAAUCUCUGUUGACUGUUCUGUAACCAUGACUGUACCAAACAUAGUUAUGGCUACGGGAAGGGUUUUUCUUUCUGCACACUUUAAAAAUCUUUGCUCACCCCUUUCUGUUUCAGAAUAACUAUUUUGAAAUGUGGGAAUAUCAAUUCUAGAAUAAAAAAGAGUGAGCCAAAAUAUUUUAUAGUGUGCAGGAAGUUGGGGCCAUGUGGGAACGGUCUCGUGUUUCUUUCAACACUAAAGGAAUGUUAUGAAAAAUAGAGGAGAAUCAGUUGUUCUUGUACAUUGUGUAUCAUAUACGUAUUUUACACCUGGUUUGAGUAAGGUGAAAAUAUAGUUCGUUGAAUGUGUUUGUGUUAUUUUGUUGCAUAAAAGAUAUCUUGAACAUUUCUG
rnacentral:lncRNA from 1 species